rnacentral:rRNA from 1 species
UACGGGGGGGGCAAGCGUUGUUCGGAAUUACUGGGCGUAAAGGGCUCGUAGGCGGCCAACUAAGUCGGAUGUGAAAUCCCCAGGCUCAACCUGGGAACUGCGUCCGAUACUGGAUGGCUUGAGUUUGGGAGAGGGAUGCGGAAUUCCAGGUGUAGCGGUGAAAUGCGUAGAUAUCUGGAGGAAUACCGGUGGCGAAGGCGGCAUCCUGGACCGACAUUGACGCUGAACGGCGAAAGCUAGGGGAGCAAACGGG